rnacentral:rRNA from 1 species
AUUGAACGCUGGCGGCAGGCCUAACACAUGCAAGUCGAGCGAGCGGCGGACGGGUGAGUAAUGUCUGGGGAUCUGCCCGAUAGAGGGGGAUAACUACUGGAAACGGUGGCUAAUACCGCAUACUAUCGGAUGAACCCAUAUGGGAUUAGCUAGUUGGUGGGGUAACGGCUCACCUAGGCGACGAUCCCUAGCUGGUCUGAGAGGAUGAGCAGCCACACUUGGACUGAGACACGGGCCAGACUCCUACGGGAGGAAGCAGGGGGGAAUAUUGCACAAUGGGCGCAAGCCUGAUGCAGCCAUGCCGCGUGUAUGAAGAAGGCCUUAGGGUUGUAAAGUACUUUCAGCGGGGAGGCGUUACCCACAGAAGAAGCACCGGCUAACUCCGUGCCAGCAGCCGCGGUAAUUC